GAUGAUUUAGAAGCUUCGGGAUCCCAGACUGCCCAGAGUUCGCAUCCGAUGAACGGAAUGCUCGUUAUAACAUAGAGAGUGAUUACAGCUAUAGUCUGCCUUAUGCACCGGACAUUCUAUUACUUUGCCACACACCGACGCAGAUUCCAAUGUAGGUAUAUACCAGAACGAUGAAUGGUAAGAGGAAGACCAUUAGACUGUACCUACGUUAAGAAUGAACUCACAAAACUUUCCUCUGCGUUUACGUUCUUGUAAUAAUGAGAAGCAAAGUAAAUCUUGAUUCGAGGAAAUGAUAAUAGAAAAGGAAGGAAGGAAGGAAGGAAGGAAGGAAGGAAGGAAGGAAGAAAGCAAGGAAGCAAGAAACGAAGGAAGGAAGGAAGGAAGGAAGGAAGCAAAGAUGAAAGAGAAAGAGAGACAAGAGCAAACGGAAUAUCGCUUACCAUGUGACGUACGCUCUUUCGCCAAACUUUAUGUCAAAAGUUGCCCAGCAGUCCCAAAUUCCUGGCGUUACUUCUUGAUACGAAAACACGAAUAACUGGAAUUUAAUAAAAUGGCGAUAGGAACGAUAUUCGAUAAAUUCUCUAUUCUUUCCAUAUCCGUUAAGACGUAAAUCUGCAAUAACUGAGAGGAUGACAAAUUGCAUGAUAUCUGUCGAUCGCCGUUGCCGUCAGAAUGUAAGAACUUAGAUAAGGGCCGAACGUUUGAAAGAAUUUCACUA